rnacentral:rRNA from 1 species
UACGGAGGGGGCUAGCGUUGUUCGGAAUUACUGGGCGUAAAGCGCACGUAGGCGGCUUUGUAAGUUAGAGGUGAAAGCCCGGGGCUCAACUCCGGAAUUGCCUUUAAGACUGCAUCGCUAGAAUUGUGGAGAGGUAAGUGGAAUUCCGAGUGUAGAGGUGAAAUUCGUAGAUAUCGGAAGAACACCAGUGGCGAAGGCGACUUACUGGACACAUAUUGACGCUGAGGUGGCGAAAGCGUGGGGAGCAAACAGG